CUUUGAUGUAAAUUCAUUUUUAGAAGUUAUAAAGCAAAUACUGUAAGGAGGGAAUUACGAUUUUAAAACUAGAACUUUGCAAAAUUUGGCAUGCUGAGAUUACAACUUUAUUAGUAGUCAGAGAAUACAAAACCGCUACACAACAGUAUAUAUUUGUGGAAAGUACAUCCCCAAGGUAUUUAAGAACAUUUUGACACUUCUUAUUUAACUUUAGUUAUGUUUUUGUGUUUUAUUUUCUAAACAUAUUUUAUUUUGGAGAAAUUCAGAUUCCAUGUAUCCCACUACUGCAAACACCACAUGUUUGUGUUCUAUUUCUGUUCUCGAGUACAAACAUACGCCACAUGUAUAUAUUUUUCUCUAAUCCAACCCUUAAUGCAAUCUUUAAUCCAACUCGUAAUCCAACCCAUAAUCCAAGCACUAAAACAAGCUCUAAUCCAAGUCCUAAUUGGACACUAAGCCGUUGCUAAUCCGACCCUAAUUUAAUUAUGCUCUAACCCAGGAUUCCCUAAACUCCGGCCCUCCAGAUGUUGCUCAACUACAACUCCCAUGAUUCUCAGCCUAUCUAUUUCAUUCAUAGAAUCAUGGGAGUUGUAGUUCGGCAACAUCUGGAGGGCCAGAGUUUGGGGAAGUCUGCUAACCCAUAAUACUACUAAUAUUACUAGUAAUAUAACCUAUAAUCUUAGUCCUAAUCCAAC